UGUUUAUUGACUUCUUGAAAAAUGCUAUGUGUCUUGCCAGACUUAGCUUACAAGUUUGGUUAAAGAGAGACUGACAUGAGCAUAAAGGAAGGGACAUUGAAAGAGGCAGAGAUGAAGGAAGAAAUUGUAACUUACUCCUUUUAUCCCACCCAUCAAAGGAAAGACAAGUUGACAUUCCCAGGGUGGAUGGAUCCAGGCAGGACAGGAUCAGAAGUUGCAGUCUUAAUUGCACCAACUCACGCAUGUCACCAGCCGAGUAGUAUUGAUUCUGCAACAAACUGAGAAGAAACCUGGCGAUUCACAACAGAGAGCUGAGAAAUCCUAAGUCUGGAUUCCAGCUAAAUGGGAGCAGACUAAAUAGAGCGGCAGUCGGCGAACUACAUGUAGCCCAUGAACAAAAUCCGGUCCAGCACGUGUGUUUUUUUUUACGGCCCACAAAUGAGUCUGUCUUUACAGAUGAAUGUUAAAACUGGGUUGACAAGAGAGAACACUCACUUUGAACCGCAACUAAACAAAAUAUUAUCACCUUUCCCCUCAAAAAAGGUUUUUGUUCUUCUCAUUAGUAAAUUUGUAUUAUGACAAAA
rnacentral:lncRNA from 10 species